GGCAACUUUGAAUCUGAACAACGGCUACAAGGAUGCAAGAUGGUUGGAGGCCAUUCCCCGCAGGGCUCGGGUAGCGUGUGGACCACACGCCUCUGCUCUGAGUUUUGCAGUGUCUCCUUCAGCCUCAUAUUCACCAGCUCUCUUAGCCCUUGCCCACAUUCCCACCCUAGACAUCUAAUCUCCCACGGAUUCUGAUGCGCCAUAAAGUCUGUGAAUAACCCGCAGCCUCGUUGUUUCUUAAAAUAGCUUGCAAGAAAAAUUACAAGAGGGAUUUCGCUGAUAAUCUUUGUCUUCCCUGAUAGGCCUAAAGAUUAUUUGGUGAAUUUCCAAACAGCAACUUAGGAGCAGUAGAGAGAAGCUGUACAGUCAAGGCUAAUACUUUUCAAUUUGAAAUAUGGAGGCUGAAGUAAUUGGAGAAGGUGAUAGUGACUAUUUCUGAAAUAAUUAUUAGGAUCAACUAUUUGGCACUGAAAAAGUUGGCGAGAAGUGAGUUGAAGACUGAAUCCAUGGCUAAAUAUGGUGCCAACACCUAAUUUUACAGUCGUUGUUGCAUUUUUCUCAUCAACGAAGAAUGUGCAUUGGCAGGUUUCUCGCCUGCCCUCGUAGAAUGGUUAUUGCUGUGCAGCCUCUGCACAUGUUGUGAUGAUUCUGGAUCAUUUUCUCAAGUUUGAAACUGUGGAUGUGGCAAUGGCUGUUUCCAGACAGAAAACAGUGGAAUCUUGGAAAGAGCUGAAGAAACUAUCAACUGUGAUUUUGUACUUUUGGCCAACUGAAUUAAGAAAGCAGAUCCUUUGGGUUUACACAUCCAGGAAAGGAAUCAGCCUCUCUUAUACGCUGUGAGGUUCUUCUUCUCUGAAAAGAAUGCACUUUCAUUAUUGAAAUUAUAUCAGAAAAUAUUCAUAUUGUGUUUUAUGGGUUUUUUUUGGUCUUCAUAUCUUGAAAAGAAUGAUUUUGAGAAUCAAGUUUCAUCUGCCAAUUUUAAUAGUGUAAUUCCUGCUGAAGUAAUUAGUUCUCUUCUUCCUCAUCUUUUUCUGAACCCACUGGAAAAAAAAAAAGAGAAAAGAGAAAGGCGGACGGAGGCUAAAAGAGCAUCCUUCCUACUGAUAAAGCUGACACCGGAGAAAGUGGAAUAUAUCUGUAGGCAGAUGGACUUCCUAGUACUGAGCACAGGUAUUGAAGGACCAUCUGGCCACAGGCAGGGUCGGACCAUUGCUGGCCUCCACACAGGGCAGGCAUGGAGCGAAGCUUUACUGGUAUGCUUCCCACGGGUUCGAGAGCCACCUAGAGCAUGUUUUCUCUAUUUCCUAAAAGGAAGAGCGACAGAAAGGGGCCAGGCUGCGCAUGCUCAGCUUCUCCUCACAGACUCACCAAUCAGGCUUUUGUGUUCUUCAGAAAAGGGACCUGUAAUUCUGAGAAGUGGAUCAGAGAAGGUCAAAUCACUGUGCACAAAACAAUGACUCAAAACUCUGAGUCUUUUCCAGACUUACCUACCUUAAAAAAAAAAAAAGAAGUCCUUUGCCCCACUGAGGAGAGCUCCUGAGAGGCAACAUGAGGGGCUGAGGGGCUCCUGCGGCUUUGAGGAAACCCUGCAGGCCAGGCCACGCCACCAGAAGGAACCAAAACACAAAGAGAAACCCCAUUCAGCAGACCACGGAGAAGUCCUCUUCGCUGUUUGAAACUUUUCUCUCGUUUGUGGCAAGUCUAAUGAUUCAGUAAUGACCACAGCUGUGUUUGGGCCUACGGGUCCCCUCAGAGGCGUUUUCCCCCACUUCAGGGCAGGACCAGAACCAGCUGGCGAGGCUUCCCUCCUCCCAGCUCUUUCCAGUUUCUGCCAUGCGUCUGGGACAAGCAGAGCUUGGAGCAGCCGUUUGGAGAUUUUAUCAGACUUCUCGUGAAUCUAAUUCCGGUGGGAGGAAGCAAAGUAAAAUUCGCUGUUUAGGUUCAUGGACAAUGCAUUUCUGGGCCUGAAAUUCAGCUCUCAGGAUCCUGCUGGUGAAGUGCUGGGGAUAUGGAAACUAAUACAAUUGGGUUCCUGCCUUGAUGGGAUCACAGUCUUGUAGAUAAAUAUGCAAAUAAUUCUAGAAAAGUCAUCUAUGUGAUAACAGGACUAUGUGAGGUACAUAGCCCUGCCCGGAAAUGUUGAGAAAACUGAUCUUGAAGGAUGAGUGGAGGAUGCCAAAAGGGCAGAAGGAUAUUCUAGAGGAAAGUCUGGAGCUUGCAAAAGAACUUUGCUUGAAAAUAGCAAGGCUGAAAGAGAUUUUAAGCGGGGAACAAAAGGCAGGGAAGGCAACGUGGACUCUCCAGUUCUCAACAUCCAGCGGAGAUUCCACUUUAUCAAGAGAGGAUUUUUUCCUUCCUCUGAACUCUGAAAAAUGCUUGGGCCUUUUAUCAGGAUCGCCCCACACUGUUUAUAUACCACUGAUAAGGCCAUUGAUAUUUGUUUUACCAGGCCAGGCAUAGGAAGAUGUUGCUUGUUGCUAUUCCUUGCAUAGACCCGUGAUAAACCCUGAGGGCCUUCAUGAAAACCGUUGUGAUUCUUACCCUUUACCGGUCAGGGAUCUUUGGGGAGUGGAAGGAAAGUGAUAAACCAUCUCCCCAGAAAAAUGCAUGUAGUUUUGCAUAAAAUUUGAGAAGUUUCCAGAACCAUCCCCCCUUCCAAAGUCACUUCUACACUCCAGGUAAAGAACUCCCCACCUAGCUUCAGGCUGUGGGUCAGAGAACUGGAAUGACCCAGUGUAGACACAGUGCUUUACGGUGACCGGGCCUGAUGUGGGCAUUCAGCUCGGUCAUUCUUGAGACAGGAACAUCCCCAGGCAGGCCUUCAGCUUGCCCUGACCAAGGUUAGGUGAGGGCACGUGGUGUUGACAAGCGUCCUCGCCCAGGCUUGUUGUGGCCGAGUGGUCUUGGACCUGGCAAAAGGAGAAGCAGCUUUUUAGCUUGGCAAGUCAGCUGCCUGCUGAAGAGCAGUAAUCUGCGGUGAGAUCAGUGAUGGCAAACGUUUUCUGUCAGACUGUUCACUAGUUAGACUGAAGUGUGUCCGCCGGCGUAUGUACUUCCUUUUCACUUGAGUUGGUGAAUCGAGUGGGGCAGGAGGGACUGUGGGACACCAAGACCGUUCUCAGAUGGGAAGAGUGAAGGCAGAACGACAGGAGCUGUGUGGAGCUCCCUUAUAGACAGAGCUUUGAAAGGAAACUGAAUCCUUUUCCAGAGAGCUUCAGCAGGGCGGACACCAGAGUGAGGCAAGCGAGGCAUUUGCAGUGGGUGUCAAAUGUAAGGGAGAGAUGCCAAAAAACUCACUAAUCAAGAUAAAUAGUAUUUUAAUGCAAUCUUAAAAAGUAAAAAUUAAUGCAAAAAUCCAUGAUGAAUAAAAUUUCAAAAUUUUAAAUGAAGACAGGAUGCAAUCCUGCACUUGCCUGGCCUUGCCUCACCCUCCGAAUUACCCUAAUUCCAGCCCCAGGCUUUGAAGCCAAGACACGCAUACCCUUAACGUCCCAAACUUGUGUUUCAGCAAGACUUUGAGUUUCAGUAAGUUCGUGCCUGGACGCUGCUGAGUUAUUUCUGGGCACGGUCCCAGGCGGCGUGAACACUGCUCCUUGUCCAUUUCUGUUCAAAGCCGGCUUUGCCACCUUUGACCAAGGAACAAGUGUUGGCAGUGACCCAAAUGUUCCACCAGGUGGCACUCUUGCUCCAACCAGGUGCCCCUGAAAAGGGGCAUCUUAGCCCAACUAAAGAGAUUUAAACUAAUUGCUAAAUUGUUACCAGUUGUUUUUUGAAAGGCUGGAAGGAAUCCCUAGCACGGAUUGGGGUGAUCAGAGAUGCCAUAUGAGGAUAGGCGGAAUAGUCUGGAGAGCCUGGAGCAAGGUAAGGCUUGAUUAGUAACAACAGGCUGUGUUGCUCUUUAGCAGGUGAGAAAAAUGAGGAUUUUAAACCUCCUUUUGUUCUCAGAUGCAAUAUAAACACGUGACAGAGGAGAGAAAAGUGGGAUUAAUGGUUUUCUGGGGAGCAUAGCCUGAUGGAAAGAUCUCCACGGUUUCCUGCAAUUUCGGCUCCACCGUUUGCUAGCUGUGAUCCUGGGCAAAUGACUGGAGCUUGCAAGCCUGAGAGUCUUCAUCUUUUUUUGUUUUUUUUUAGAAAGAUUAGUCCUGAGCUAACUGCUGCCAAUCCUCCUCUUUUUGCUGAGGAAGACUGGCCCUGAGCUAAUGUCUAUGCCCAUCUUCCUCUACUUUAUAUGUGGGAUGCCUGCCACAGCAUGGCGUGCCAAGUGGUGCCACGUCCGCACCCAGGAUCCGAACUGGCGAGCCCCAGCCCGCUGAUGUGGAACGUGCGCACUAACCACUGCGCCACCGGGCAGGCCCCUAGAUUCUUCAUCUUUAAAUGGUGAUUGUUGUAGCCGCUCCCCGAGAGGGUUGUUAGAAGAUUAAAUAAAGUGAUGUACAGAGGCUCUUUGCCUGGUGCCUGGCACCAAAAAAGUUUUCAGUGAAGGAGAGGGGCUGUGAUGGACUUGGAGGCAAAGGCUGAGCAGCUUGGAUUUUGUGGCAUCUCUUGGCUGAUACGUUAAUUAAGGAGAUGACCUCAGAGUGACCCAGAGAAAUAACUUGAUAAUGAACCAUGGCUUCAGCAGAGUCAACUCGAAGAAUUUCCCACCUGGAUCGAAUUUCACAGGUGUGAUUCUUGAACCAGGAACUCAAGCUGGGUUCCCCAGCAGCACUGUCUCACCCUCAGCGACUUGGGAAACAUUUGACCACCAGGUGACUGGCCCCCCUUAAGCUGUGCAUUGUUGCGGGAAGUAUCCAUUUACACGGAUGUGUGUGGGAGGCUUUCCAUUAAUGCAGUCUGUCUCCUUACCGUUCUGAAAUCCCCACCUCACAAAGAUGCCCCCAAAUUAACUGUUCCUCAACAAGAAUGAUGCUGGUAAUGUUUUCUCUGUAUUGAGGCUUGUAUUAUGUAAGUCACUUUAAUAAGCACUUUACAGACACUGUUUCAUUUAUGCCUUGAAACCAUCUGGAGAGGUAAUUGAACCCAUUUUACAGACAAGUAAAUUUAGGUUUAGGAAAACUUAAUACCUUAUCAAGGCUCCUUCAGCCAGUAAUUGGUAUAAACAGGUCUAUCUGACUUCUAAAUCAACCUAUCUAUUUAUCUAUCAAUCAUCUACUUAUUUGAUAUGUUGAAUACAAACUAUUCU
rnacentral:lncRNA from 1 species